rnacentral:rRNA from 1 species
AUACGUAGGGUGCAAGCGUUAAUCGGAAUUACUGGGCGUAAAGCGUGCGCAGGCGGUUUUGUCAGACAGUGGUGAAAUCCCCGGGCUCAAACUGGGAACUUGCAUUGUGUACGGAAGGGUGGGGGGCGGGAGAAGGGGAUGGGAAUUCGCUGGGUGGAGUUGCAUGCGUAUAUAUGUGGAGGAACACCGAUGGCGAAGGACAGCCCCCGGGCCUGCACUGACGCUCAUGAACGAAAGCGUGGGGAGCAAACAGGAUUAGAUGCCCUGUUAGUCCACGCCCGAAACGAUGUUAACUGGUGGUUGGUGAUUUAUUUGCUCAGUAACGAAGCUAAGGCGUUAAGUCGACCGCCUGGGGAGUACGGCCGCAAGGUUAAAACUUAAAUGAAUUGACGGGG